UUAAACUGGGAUUAGAUACCCCACUAUGCUUAGCCCUAAACUCAGAUAGUUCCUCGAACAAAUCUAUCCGCCAGAGAACUACUAGCAACAGCUUAAAACUCAAAGGACUUGGCGGUGCUUUACAUCCCUCUAGAGGAGCCUGUUCUAUAAUCGAUAAACCCCGAUACACCUCACCACCUCUCGCUAAAUCAGUCUAUAUACCGCCAUCUUCAGCAAACCCUAAAAAGGAAGAAUAGUAAGCACAAACAUCUUAACAUAAAAAAGUUAGGUCAAGGUGUAACCCAUGAGGUGGGAAGCAAUGGGCUACAUUUUCUAUAUCUAGAACAACCCUUUACGAAAGUCCUUAUGAAAUUAAGAACCAAAGGAGGAUUUAGUAGUAAAUUGAGAAUAGAGUGCUCAAUUGAAUAGGGCCAUGAAGCACGCACACACCGCCCGUCACCCU
rnacentral:rRNA from 1 species